UACGAAGGGGGCGAGCGUUGUUCGGAUUUACUGGGCGUAAAGGGCGCGUAGGCGGCUGGGGAAGUCGGCGGUGAAAGCCCGGAGCUCAACUCCGGGUCGGCCGUCGAGACUCCUCGGCUCGAGCUCACUAGAGGCAGAUGGAAUUCCGGGUGUAGCGGUGGAAUGCGUAGAGAUCCGGAAGAACACCGGUGGCGAAGGCGGUCUGCUGGGGUGAGGCUGACGCUGAGGCGCGACAGCGUGGGGAGCAAACAGG
rnacentral:rRNA from 1 species